UUUAACUUCUAUAGCCUUGUCUGUCUCUCCCUUCCAAUUAUUUUUUCUUCUUAAACUCCUCCCUUCCAUUUUUCUUUUUCUUCUCAAACUCUUCCUCUCCCUCCCACUUUCUUUUUCUGAAUAAAGAAGAAAACAGGUCAUCUCUUCCAACCAAACCUCCAGUCCCUCCUUACCCAAACCUUUUCUUUUUCUAACAACAGUGUGUAAAAGAAAAUAGGUCAUCUUUCAGACUUUCCGUCCCUCUCCCUUCUUCCUUUGCAAACCCGCCUGCACAACAGUACCUAAUUAGAAACACAAGAAAUAAAAGAAGAGCAAUCUAGAAUUCAAACCAAAGUGGAGAGAGGAACCAGAAAACUAGAUAUAUCACUGGAAUAAAAUACGUUUCUUAAUUACAUAUCAGAUAGGCUUUCCAUCCAUGUUAUUGCGUCUUCCUGUGGUUCCAUUAUCAUCUACCUGGAUAGCUUUGUUACCUUGGGAUCAGAUCAUGAAAUAGGUAUCACUGCUCUCAGUUCAUAAAUUAGUUGGGUUUCUGUAUCCCUUAUGAAGAUAGGUUCCCUCAAGAAUCUAUAGGUUGAGAAUUGUUAAUCUUGUUCAUAAAAUAGAGGUAGUACAGAAGCUUGUUUGUAUCAUUCAAUCAUAUGGAAUUGCACCAAAUUCUCUCUCCUCUUUAUA